GCCUACGGGGGGCAGCAGUAGGGAAUUUUCGUCAAUGGGCGCAAGCCUGAACGAGCAAUGCCGCGUGAACGAGGAAGGUCUUCGGAUCGUAAAGUUCUGUUGAAGGGGAAAAAGAGCGGAGAGAGGAAAUGGUCUCCGAUUGAUAUUACCCUUCGAGGAAGUCACGGCUAACUACGUGCCAGCAGCCGCGGUAAUACGUAGGUGGCGAGCGUUAUCCGGAAUGAUAGGGCGUAAAGGGUGCGUAGGCGGCCUGCUAAGUCUGGAGUGAAAGGUACCGGCUCAACCGGUACAGGCUCUGGAAACUG
rnacentral:rRNA from 1 species